rnacentral:rRNA from 1 species
AACGAACGCUGGCGGUGUGCCUGAGACAUGCAAGUCGUGGGAGAAAGUCGGGGCAACUCGACGAGUAAACCGGCGCACGGGUGAGCAACACGUGGAUAACCUGCCCUGGAGACUGGGAUAACCCGUCGAAAGACGGACUGAUACCAGAUAAGACCACGGACAGUUCGCUGGUCGAGGUAAAAGGUGGCCUCUGCUCCUGCAAGCUAUCACUCCGGGAGGGGUUCGCGGCCUAUCAGCGAGUCGGCGGGGUAAUGGCCCACCAAGGCAAAGACGGGUAGCUGGUCUGAGAGGAUGGUCAGCCACACUGGGACUGAGACACGGCUCAGAGUCCUACGGGAUGCAGCAGUCAGGAAUAUUGCGCAAUGGAGGAAACUCUGACGCAGCGACGCCGCGUGGGUGAUGAAGGCCUUCGGGUCGUAAAGCCCUGUCGGAGGGAAAGAAAAGCUCGUUGGCUAAUAUCCAGCGAGCCCUUGACGGUACCCUCAAAGGAAGCACCGGCUAACUCCGUGCCAGCCGCCGCCGUAACAC